rnacentral:lncRNA from 1 species
CGGGCAGUUGUGCACCUGAACCAUGCUUCAGGAAAGUUGGCUUGGGGUUGGGGACGGCGAGCACAGCUGUUCAUGGAGUGGCAGUUGGGCCGUGUCCCAGGUGUGCACAAAGCCUCUGGCAAGCCGCUGUUAGCCCAGCGUCAACAGGUCCAUCCAGCCAGGGGCUCAGCAGCAAGCAGCACUGAACUGUGAGCCGUGGAAGCGGCUGGAACCUGGAGAGGACGCCCCUCGUCAGUGUUUCCUGUUUUCAAAGAGAAAAGACCUAGAUGACCUUCUGCUUCCGAGUUCCCACGGAAGUGGAGAGGUGGGACUCGGAGGCCGAGAGGCCGACUAGCCACCAGGAGCCCACCCCAAGCUGUUGCUCCCCUCCGUCCCUCCUCCGCCCUGGCCCUGGCCACGCCUCUGUGGCCUUGCCUGUGACCUGUCCCCCCCACAGUCAGGGUGGAGCUGACGCUGGACUCCAGCCAGGGCAGGGUCUGGGGGCAGGGAUGUGACACACGGUGGCCCAGUGCGCCUCCCUGGAACGGGGCCUGGGUUGGCCUCCCACAGGCAGACGCCCUCGUGGUAGGUGCAGAACUCAGAGGGGGAAAGGGCGCCCAGACACAGCGUCCACAACAGCCACCUCGGAAGCACUCUGGAUGUCCGCCGACGCCCCAGUGGACACACCAACUGUCCAUCUGCCGCCAGGAAUAGAGACUGAUCCGCGCUGCGGCCUGGACAGACCGGAGAGCUCUGGGGAGGAAGGAAGCCAGACCCUGGUGGCUGCUGAGGGUGAGGAGGAGGGAGGUAGCACUCAACGGGCACGGGGUGCCCUCCAGGGGCGCUGGGGAGACAGGUGGUCACAGAACACGGAGGCCCUGCUCAACACCACUGACCCAUGGGCUCUCAAAGGCUGGUUUUUAGGGUCUGCGGCUUUCACUUCAAUCAGGAAUCGGGGGGAGCAAGGAGCUCGCAGCCCAGCUCCUGGGGGAGGCUGGGGCCUGCGCCACGGGCACGGGCAGGUGUGGCCUGGCAGAGGAGGAGAGCCAGGGCCUGGGG